UACGAAGGGUGCAAACGUUGCUCGGAAUUAUUGGGCGUAAAGCGCACGUAGGCGGCUUAGCAAGUUGGAUGUGAAAUCCCUCGGCUCAACCAAGGAAGUGCAUCCAAAACUGCUGAGCUUGAGUACUUAAGAGGAUCGCGGAAUUCCCGGUGUAGAGGUGAAAUUCGUAGAUAUUCGGAAGAACACCAGUGGCGAAGGCGGCUCACUGGUCCGGUACUGACGCUGAGGUGCGAAAGCGUGGGGAGCAAACAGG
rnacentral:rRNA from 1 species